UGCAUAAAUCAAGCGUUU
rnacentral:rRNA from 1 species